UUUAAUUAAACAUACCAUAUCUAUAUAUACUCUAUUUGUAAUAUUCGAAGACAAUUAGACGUCUUUUUUUCAAUCUUUUCAUGUCAUGUGGCUUUUAUUUGACCAUUUUGCUAGUAAUAAAAAGUUGGCUAAAGAAACCCAAAUCACUUUCGAUUGGAAAUAGCAGGGUAGUUUUGCCCAAAUUAUAGAUUACAAGAAAUUAAAAUACUAGAAGAGAUCAGAAAUCCUGCAGAUUAAGAGUGCUUUUACUGUGGAUUUAGAAGUGUUUUGCGUUGAAAAUUUUUGUAUGUGCGGUUGAGUUCUUGGCAACGUGGCUUCUUUGUUAUCAUAAUAUACAUAUAUUUUGUGUUUUUGUCUCGAAAUAUGGUUAGGGCCAGACACCAGCAUACAGUUUUCCUCUCAUAUGGAUCUAUCACCAAAACCUUGUCUGGCCAUUGCUAUGCAUCGCCACACACAUUGCCUCUCUGUGUUAGAAAAAGGGUGGGGCUUAUUCAUUCGAAGAUCGCUUGUCAGCCAAGGAAGAAAGAUUUUACAUGAUGAAUUCUGAUGAAGGAAUACAUGAUUGACAAGGCAGCCAUGAGCAGUAGAUGAAGGCUACUUUUCAACUCGAAAGCCGUGGGGAAGUUUCUUGCAUACUUGCUGAAAUAAUGGUAUAGUAUAUUUUCAUAACAGUGUACUUGCAAAAGCUUGAAACUCAUCCCUUAAGAAGGAAAGAUUUAGACCAUACAUUUGAAGUUUAGUACCUAAUCGAGCCAUUGUGCAGAAUAUUGUGUUUCAACGCCCUUAGUAGUUCCAACAACCUGCAAUGAUGCUUGAAUAAUUGCUAUCACAAUAACAUUUGUUCAUUUUCAUUCAUGUGCACCUUUAUACAUGGAUUUUCUAUAGUUUUUUCUUUUCUUUUCUAAACAUCUAUGGUGUUCAAUUAUGGAGUAUUAAGCGAAAAUUGAAUUUUUCAGGGGCAAAAUUCUUAAAGCAUCGAAGAAUUGGGCAGAGAGAACUAUCCAAGUCAUUGUUGUUACUGAUGGUGAGUGUAUCUUCGGGCCUGGGGGUCUUGGUUGCCAGGUAUUGAUGCUCAUAAAUUUAUUUACAAAUUGGAUGUGCAAACCCCUUCUUGUCUCUUAAUGAUGCAAUGGUUUUACAUUCGUUAAGGAAUGAUGAUUCUGCUCGGAAAACUCUCUCUAUAGACGGCAUUAGGAGGAUUACUUGCCUUUGCAGGCACAAACAGUGAGAAGCUGUUGAAUGAUGAGUUCUAUAUUGGUUUUGGACAGAGGAGGGUAACUAGACAGGUAGAGUAAUUUUACUUUCUUCCAUUUCCAAUCGACUGAUAUUUCUUCUUUUCUUUUCUAGAUUUUAAAUCAUUCCAAGUCUCAAGAUUUGUGUUUGUUAUUUAUUGAUGUUUCUUUUGAAUAAUAUUGCUUUUGUAUUAAGUGAUGUGGACUGAAUUCUUUCUGGUCGAGCCAAUGGUUAAAGAAGUUGUGAUAGAUGUCGCUCUUUCGAUUUAUAAAUCGGUGCUUUUUUUU